rnacentral:rRNA from 1 species
UGCUAAUACCGGAUAACAACAAGAUGAUGCCUAUCAACUGUUUAAAAGAAUGGUUCUGCUAUCACUCUUGGAUGGACCUGCGGUGCAUUAGCUAGUUGGUAGGGUAACGGCCUACCAAGGCGAUGAUGCAUAGCCGAGUUGAGAGACUGAUCGGCCACAUUGGGACUGAGACACGGCCCAAACUCCUAGGGAGGCAGCAGAC